rnacentral:rRNA from 1 species
GACGAACGCUGGCGGCGUGCCUAAUACAUGCAAGUCGAACGCAGUGGGGACGGGUGAGUAACACGUGGGUAACCUCCCAUCAGAGGGGAUAACACUUGGAAACAGGUGCUAAACCGAUACUGAUGGAUGGACCCGCGGUGCAUUAGCUCGUGGGUGAGGUAACGGCUCACCAAGGCCACGAGGCAUAGCCGAGCUGUUAGGGGGAUCUGCAACACUGGGAAGAAGACGCGGACCCGAAUCCUUCGGGAGUCAGCAGUAGGGAAUGUUCGGCAAGGGACGAAAGUCGGAACGAGCAACGCCGCGUGAGUGAAGAAGGUUUUCGGAUCGUAAAACUCUGUUGUUAGAGAAGCGGUAUCUAACCAGAAAGCCACGGCUAACUACGUGCCAGAAGCCGCGGUAAUAC